GACGAACGCUGGCGGCGUGCCUAAUACAUGCAAGUCGAGCGGACGCAUCGAAAGCUUGCUUUUGAUUCGUUAUCGGCGGACGGGUGAGUAACUUGUGUGCAACCUGCCUUGUAGACGGGGAUAAUACCGAGAAAUCGUUUCUUAGACCGGAUAACAUGAAGUGUCGCAUUGCGUUUGGUUUGAAGUCGGCGGAUGCUGUGGCUACAGCAUGGGCCCGCGGCGCUUGAGCUAGGUGGUGAGGUAACGGCUCACCACGGCGACGAUGAGUAGCGGACCUGAGUGGGAGGUCGGCCACCUGGGGACUGAGACAGGGCACAUACUCCUGCGGUAGGAAGCAGUCGGGAAUCUUGCGCAAGGGAGGAGAGUCUGACGUAGCAACGUGGCGUGAGCGAAGAUGGCGUUCUGCUCGGAAAGCUCUGAUGUCAGGGAAGAUCUAGUACCGCAGUACCCGGCGUGACAGUGACGGUACCGAGAGAAAAAGCCACGGCUAACUACGUG
rnacentral:rRNA from 1 species